UGGGGAAUAUUGCACAAUGGGCGCAAGCCUGAUGCAGCCAUGCCGCGUGUAUGAAGAAGGCCUUUGGGUUGUAAAGUACUUUCAGUCGGGAGGAAGGUGUCAAGGUUAAUAACCUUGGCAAUUGACGUUACCGACAGAAGAAGCACCGGCUAACUCCGUGCCAGCAGCCGCGGUAAUACGGAGGGUGCAAGCGUUAAUCGGAAUUACUGGGCGUAAAGCGCACGCAGGCGGUUGAUUGAGUCAGAUGUGAAAUCCCCGGGCUUAACCCGGGAAUUGCAUCUGAUACUGGUCAGCUAGAGUCUUGUAGAGGGGGGUAGAAUUCCAUGUGUAGCGGUGAAAUGCGUAGAGAUGUGGAGGAAUACCGGUGGCGCAGGCGGCCCCCUGGACAAAGACUGACGCUCAGGUGCGAAAGCGUGGGGAGCAAACAGG
rnacentral:rRNA from 1 species